UUAUAAUUUAAAGUCUAACCUGCCCAAUGAAUAUUAAAAAUUUAAAUGGCUGCGGUACCCUGACCGUGCAAAGGUAGCAUAAUAAUUAGUUUUUUAAUUGAGAACUAGAAUGAAUGGUUGGACGAGAAAAAAACUGUCUCAAUUUAAUUUUUAUUAGAAUUUAAUUUUUAAGUUAAAAAGCUUAAAUAUAUUUAAAAGACGAGAAGACCCUAUAGAGUUUUAUAUUAAAUUUUAUAUUUAAUUUGAAGUAUAAUUAUAUUUGAAAUAUAUUAUUUAGUAUUUUAUUGGGGCGAUAGAAAAAUUGAAUAAACUUUUUUUAAAUUAUAACAUUAAUGUAUGAGUUAGUGAUCCAUUAAUAAUGAUUAUAAGAUUAAAUUACCUUAGGGAUAACAGCGUAAUUCUUUUUUAGAGUUCCUAUCGAAAAAAGAGUUUGCGACC
rnacentral:rRNA from 1 species